UACGCGUUCUGACGCAAUUAUAUUGCUCAGGCAACACGUAGAAAGCGGGAACGAGCCAGAAACUUGCGAUCCCUUAAAUUUUUGGAUGCUGUGUUCAAACAACAUGCAGCCCUUCAAGGAGCUAA